rnacentral:rRNA from 1 species
AACGAACGCUGGCGGCAGGCUUAACACAUGCAAGUCGAACGGAUCCUUCGGGAUUAGUGGCAGACGGGUGAGUAACGCGUGGGAACGUACCCUUUGCUACGGAAUAACUCAGGGAAACUUGAGCUAAUACCGUAUGUGCCCUACGGGGGAAAGAUUUAUCGGCAAAGGAUCGGCCCGCGUUGGAUUAGCUAGUUGGUGGGGUAAUGGCCUACCAAGGCGACGAUCCAUAGCUGGUCUGAGAGGAUGAUCAGCCACAUUGGGACUGAGACACGGCCCAGACUCCUACGGGAGGCAGCAGUGGGGAAUAUUGGACAAUGGGCGCAAGCCUGAUCCAGCCAUGCCGCGUGAGUGAUGAAGGUCUUAGGAUUGUAAAGCUCUUUCACCGGUGAAGAUAAUGACGGUAGCCGGAGAAGAAGCCCCGGCUAACUUCGUG